AAAUGACUAUGGCAAAGAAGGAAUCGAAACAAGUGUAGACAAGUGGGUGGAGGUGGGCCCAGAGAAUAGACGCUGUUAGCAAAGGGGAACAGUUACAGCAGAGAAAAAUAGCAUUUUGAAGGUAUUUGGCAAAGAGAAAAAAAGGAUGACAAAAAGAAAAUGUGGACUGGCUUCUUAACAGGGAAAAAGAGCAAAUAGGAAAUUACAGAAAAAGGACAGAAGGCUUGGCCUGUCUUAGGAGCAGGCUUGGUGACAAAAGUAAUAGCAAGAAGAAUACUUCCGGUAAUAAUAGGCAAUGAGGAAAGAGCACGGAGAAGCAAUGCAUCUCAGAAUGCCCAGGGUAGGAAAAUCGCUGCAGAGCACAAAAGGAGAGAAUGGAGGGAGUGCAAGCCAGCUGGCAAUUAUUUUUGAAACCUCGUGGAAGACUAUUAGGUUCCUCGGAGUUUGAAAAGGGAAAGAUACCAAAUUUUUUUUUGACAGCAUGAUAAAAAUGUGUUAAAUGGGUCACAGAGAAUCUGAAUUUGGUAGGCUUCUUCGGUACGAAGAUAAACUCUUAGUAAAAAUGAGCAAAAGGGCUAAAUGAUAAGUGCCCAGCUAACUUGCCCAUUGGCCCACAUACAUGAGUGUCAGAUGUACACCUGUUUCCAUCCCCGCCCCUCUUUGUGUAAGAUCUCAUCGUCUGUUAUUCUGAAGUUGACUACAAAUGCACCUGUGGUAGACGUAAGCACUGUUCACAAUCGUUCCGGUUCCCUUUCCUUCUGGGCGCACAAGGAAGGACUAUACCUCCUCAUCGUGGUACAGAUGGACGUGAACUUGUCUGGAUGGAAGCAUUCAAGGGCUGAGAACCUGUAGUUCUGUAGUUACGAAGCCACUGAGAUCUGGGAGUGAUUUCUACCACAGCAUGACCUACAUUGUCCUGACAAUGGACCACCACGCCACUUGUGGUGGGAAUUCAGCGAGGUGACACAGGUAAAACACUUCCCAACAUAGUCUCAACAGUGUUAGCUAUUAUUAUCAUUCUUGGCUAAUAUGCUUCUGCUAAGUCUGCUCUCUUACUUGUUUUCUGUCAUCGGAGAAAUUAAUAUAUAUCUCAAAUAAGAUGAGCUGGCUUGUUAUGAUACGUGGGUAUGUGUUUUACAUUCCUGAUCAUGUUUAUUCCCAGAAUAAAAGAGUAAGGCAGUUAUUACUGUAAUGACUC
rnacentral:lncRNA from 12 species